rnacentral:rRNA from 1 species
GUCGAACGCAACCUUCGGGUAAGUGGCGGACGGGUGAGUAACGCGUGAGAAUCUGCCUGGGGUCGGGGACAACCACUGGAAACGGUGGCUAAUACCGGAUAAGCCUUUGGGUAAAAGAUUUAUUGCCCCAAGAGGAGCUCGCGUCUGAUUAGCUAGUUGGUGAGGUAAAAGCUCACCAAGGCAGCGAUCAGUAGCUGGUCUGAGAGGACGAUCAGCCACACUGGGACUGAGACACGGCCCAGACUCCUACGGGAGGCAGCAGUGGGGAAUUUUCCGCAAUGGGCGAAAGCCUGACGGAGCAAGACCGCGUGAGGGAGGAAGGCUCUUGGGUUGUAAACCUCUUUUCUCAGGGAAGAAGCUCUGACGGUACCUGAGGAAUCAGCCUCGGCUAACUCCGUGCCAGCAGCCGCGGUAAUACGGAGGAGGCAAGCGUUAUCCGGAAUUAUUGGGCGUAAAGCGUCAGCAGGUGGCGAUUCAAGUCUGCUGUCAAAGCACGGGGCUUAACUCCGUUAAGGCAGUGGAAACUGAAUAGCUAGAGUGCCGUAGGGGUAGAGGGAAUUCCCGGUGUAGCGGUGAAAUGCGUAGAGAUCGGGAAGAACAUCGGUGGCGAAAGCGCUCUACUGGACGGCAACUGACACCUCAGGGACGAAAGCUAGGGGAGCGAAUGGGAUUAGAUACCCCAGUAGUCCUAGCUGUAAACGAUGGAUACUAGGUGUAGCUAGUAUCGACCCGAGCUGUG